rnacentral:lncRNA from 1 species
UUGAUUUUAAGAGAAUCUUUGUUUAUUUUUAGAAUAUAUAUAACCUCAAACGUAAAGUAUAGAGAGUAAAUAAAAAAAAAUCAAGUCUAUGUUCUCUGUUAUUUACUGUAUCUAUUAAUUCAAAAUUGAUCAUUUUUGAGUUAUUUAUGUUUCCCAUUGUUCAUUGACGGUUGAUGAAAUUGAUGUAUCUCUCAGUUUUUAUAUAAGUUUUAUUUUCUUUAUCUUUUGUCCUAAUUUUUUUUUUUUGAUGAAAUAUCAAAUUUAUUGAUCAAGCAAAGAAUGUUAUUUACAUAAGUAUGACUACUCUACUGUCUUUAUGUAUGAACCAGUACUUCUUCACAUACUAAGCUGGAACCAACGGCUGAGUAAUCCUCCAUAUUUGUGAUCGAAUCUGUAUUUGAGUGAUGAGAUUCUGUUUCUCACUGCCUUAUCAAUGCGCCGUCGCAUAUGAUCAGUGGUGACUCUGCUUUGCUGAUGACGCCUCCCAUUCCUUUCUCUCCAAAUGUGGUAGAUUGUGGUCUGCAACAAAAGCUUCACCAAAACAGUAUCAGCUUUCCCUUGACUCAUUCUUUGUAUGCGAUGCAGUGUCCAUUGCCAAUCCGGAUUGAUGCUGUUGCCGAUAAGUCUCCUAGCCAGACUCUCCCACACUGUAUAGGAAUAAGGACAUGCGAAGAACAAAUGAUCACGCGUUUCAUCUCUCU